rnacentral:rRNA from 1 species
CAAAAUUACUCGCCAGNGCACUACAAGCAACAGCUNUAAAACUCAAAGGACUUGGCGGUGCUUUAUAUCCCUCUAGAGGAGCCUGUUCUAUAAUCGAUAAACCCCGAUAAACCUCACCACUUCUUGCUAAUUCAAUCUAUAUACCGCCAUCCUCAGCAAACCUUAUUAAGGCCUAGAAGUAAGCAAAAACANCAGACAUAAAAACGUUAGGUCAAGGUGUAGUCUAUGGA